rnacentral:rRNA from 1 species
GGGCCCGCACAAGCGGUGGAGCAUGUGGUUUAAUUCGAAGCUACGCGAAGAACCUUACCAGGUCUUGACAUCUUGCGCCAACCCUAGAGAUAGGGCGUUUCCUUCGGGAACGCAAUGACAGGUGGUGCAUGGUCGUCGUCAGCUCGUGUCGUGAGAUGUUGGGUUAAGUCCCGCAACGAGCGCAACCCUUGUUACUAGUUGCCAGCAUUCAGUUGGGCACUCUAGUGUUAGACUGCCGUUGACAAAACGGAGGAAGGUGGGG